rnacentral:rRNA from 1 species
CAUGCAGGUGGCUCUGCAAGUGGGAUGUGAAAGCCCCUGGCUUAACUAGGGGAGGUCGUACCAAACUGCAGGGCUGGAGGUCGGGAGAGGAAAGCGGAAUUCCCGGUGUAGUGGUGGAAUGCGUAGAUAUCGGGAGGAACACCAGUGGCGAAAGCGGCUUUCUGGCCCGCACCUGACACUAAGAUGCGAAAGCGUGGGGAGCGAACG